UGAGCCCCAUUCAACACUCGAUCGGUUCCUCUUAUCAUCUCCACCGGCGCACCAAACCUCUCACCGUCAGCAACUUCCUCCACCUAAAACCUUCAUCUUUGCCCUGUCAGUGCUCGCCGGAGAUCAAAGUAUAACCGGAGAUCUCUCUUCAUCUCGACCCGAUUUCAAACCUUUCUUUAUCUCCACCAAAUUUCAAGUUGGAAAGCGUUCAAUUCAUCCCCACCAGAUCACCUCACAGAAACCCCAUGAAACCUGCGAUUCAUUUCUUAUGGUGUGCAUAAUAAUUCUGAGAAGUAGAUUUCAAGUGGUGAUUUGGUUAAGCCCUACCAGAAGAACUUUGGUUGAGGAUCAAAUGUAAAGACUUUGAAGAUCAACAUUGAAGACUUGGGAAUCCGGAGUGAAGAAAGUUAAACCAAAGAAAAGCAUGCUUUGUCUUUUGUAUACCGAAGUGUCAGAGAAGUAAUGUUCACCUUUUCCGACAUUGUGUCUUAGAUGAGUGUUGUCAGUCCAAGCAUUGAAAUCAUGGCCGUCUAACUUAGGAGUAUUUUAUUGUUUAUCAUGUACUCGGUUUUGCUAUAUAUAUAGAUGUUCAUGUUGAUUGAUCUAUGUGUACCACUUCGCAAACUUUCAUUGUAUUACUAUUAUUGAAUACAAGUGUUUAUUAUAUUCA